GACGAACGCUGGCGGCGUGCUUAACACAUGCAAGUCGAACGGAAAGGCCCUGCUUUUGUGGGGUGCUCGAGUGGCGAACGGGUGAGUAACACGUGAGUAACCUGCCCUUGACUUUGGGAUAACUUCAGGAAACUGGGGCUAAUACCGGAUAGGAGCUCCUGCUGCAUGGUGGGGGUUGGAAAGUUUCGGCGGUUGGGGAUGGACUCGCGGCUUAUCAGCUUGUUGGUGGGGUAGUGGCUUACCAAGGCUUUGACGGGUAGCCGGCCUGAGAGGGUGACCGGCAACAUUGGGACUGAGAUAAGGCCCAGACUCCUACGGGAGGCAGCAGUGGGGAAUAUUGCACAAUGGGCGGAAGCCUGAUGCAGCAACGCCGCGUGCGGGAUGACGGCCUUCGGGUUGUAAACCGCUUUCGCCUGUGACGAAGCGUGAGUGACGGUAAUGGGUAAAGAAGCACCGGCUAACUACGUG
rnacentral:rRNA from 1 species